CUGACAUUUGCUAGAUUCAGUUGCGUAUAUUAUUUUAUCAACAAAGUUUUGGCAUAAAUGCUUAACGCAGGGGGACGUUGCACUACAAGAGGUGCGACCAGCAGUGUAAAUUAGUCACUUUUAAGUCUUAAGUUUUAACUUUUAAGAUGCUUGAUUGAUUCAUCCAAUGAUCCGACUUCAAAUAAAGCUUGCCCUAAGAAAAAGUGGCCCUUAACUAAAUUGGGGUCCAUGUCUAAAGCCCUGCGGCAAUCCGUGCAAGCAUUUUCCCAUUUUAGGAGCUUCAAGUAACAUAGGGCUCUGUUCGUAAAGUAGUGAGCCACAUCUGGAUUCUUAAUCUAAAAAUGUGAAGCAGAAUAUAGUGGCAAAAAAGUGUAAUUGUCAGAUUUCAAAAAUACUCACUAUCGCCUUACUGUAUAGAUUGAUAGCAUCAUCAUAUUUCCUAAGAU